rnacentral:rRNA from 1 species
GAUCCUGGCUCAGGACGAACGCUGUCGGCGCGCCUAACACAUGCAAGUCGAACGAGCGAGAGAGAGCUUGCUUUCUCGAGCGAGUGGCGAACGGGUGAGUAACGCGUGAGGAACCUGCCUCAAAGAGGGGGACAACAGUUGGAAACGACUGCUAAUACCGCAUAAGCCCACAGCUCGGCAUCGAGCAGAGGGAAAAGGAGCAAUCCGCUUUGAGAUGGCCUCGCGUCCGAUUAGCUAGUUGGUGAGGUAAUGGCCCACCAAGGCGACGAUCGGUAGCCGGACUGAGAGGUUGAACGGCCACAUUGGGACUGAGACACGGCCCAGACUCCUACGGGAGGCAGCAGUGGGGAAUAUUGCACAAUGGGGGAAACCCUGAUGCAGCGACGCCGCGUGGAGGAAGAAGGUCUUCGGAUUGUAAACUCCUGUUGUUGAGGAAGAUAAUGACGGUACUCAACAAGGAAGUGACGGCUAACUACGUGCCAGCAGCCGCGGUAUAACGUACGUCACAAGCGUUGUCCGGAAUUACUGGGUGUAAAGGGAGCGCACGCGGGAGGACAAGUCGGAAGUGAAAUCUAUGGGCUCAACCCAUAAACUGGCUUCAAGACUGUCUUUCUUGAGUAGUGCAGAGGUAGGCGGAAUUCCCGGUGUAGCGGUGGAAUGCGUAGAUAUCGGGAGGAACACCAGUGGCGAAGGCGGCCUACUGGGCACCAACUGACGCUGAGGCUCGAAAGUGUGGGUAGCANACAGGAUUAGAUACCCUGGUAGUCCACACCGUAAACGAUGAUUACUAGGUGUUGGAGGAUUGACCCCUUCAGUGCCGCAGUUAACACAAUAAGUAAUCCACCUGGGGAGUACGACCGCAAGGUUGAAACUCAAAGGAAUUGACGGGGGCCCGCACAAGCAGUGGAGUAUGUGGUUUAAUUCGACGCAACGCGAAGAACCUUACCAAGUCUUGACAUCCUGCGACGCACAUAGAAAUAUGUGUUUCCUUCGGGACGCAGAGACAGGUGGUGCAUGGUUGUCGUCAGCUCGUGUCGUGAGAUGUUGGGUUAAGUCCCGCAACGAGCGCAACCCUUACUGUCAGUUACUACGCAAGAGGACUCUGGCAGGACUGCCGUUGACAAAACGGAGGAAGGUGGGGAUGACGUCAAAUCAUCAUGCCCUUUAUGACUUGGGCUACACACGUACUACAAUGGCGUUAAACAAAGAGAAGCAAGACCGCGAGGUGGAGCAAAACUCAGAAACAACGUCCCAGUUCGGACUGCAGGCUGCAACUCGCCUGCACGAAGUCGGAAUUGCUAGUAAUCGUGGAUCAGCAUGCCACGGUGAAUACGUUCCNCGGGCCCUUGUACACACCGCCCCGUNC